rnacentral:rRNA from 1 species
GAUGAACGCUAGCUACAGGCUUAACACAUGCAAGUCGAGGGGUCUUUUGGAGCUUGCUUUAAAAGACGACCGGCGCACGGGUGAGUAACGCGUAUCCAACCUGCCCUUCAUAUUGGGAUAGCCUUCCGAAAGGAAGAUUAAUACCGAAUAACAUGAUAGAGUUGCCUGAUUUUAUCAUGAAAGCUCCGGCGAUGAAGGAUGGGGAUGCGUUCCAUAGGUAGUAGGCGGGGUAACGGCCCACCUAGCCGACGAUGGAUAGGGGUUCUGAGAGGAAGGUCCCCCACACUGGAACUGAGACACGGUCCAGACUCCUACGGGAGGCAGCAGUGAGGAAUAUUGGUCAAUGGGCGCAAGCCUGAACCAGCCAAGUAGCGUGAAGGAUGACUGCCCUAUGGGUUGUAAACUUCUUUUAUACGGGAACAAACCCCGGUACGUGUACCGGAUUGCGUGUACCGUAUGAAUAAGCAUCGGCUAACUCCGUGCCAGCAGCCGCGGUAACAC